GAUGAACGCUAGCUACAGGCUUAACACAUGCAAGUCGAGGGGAAACGAUAUUGGAAGCUUGCUUCCGAUAGGCGUCGACCGGCGCACGGGUGAGUAACGCGUAUCCAACCUGCCCACCACUUGGGGAUAACCUUGCGAAAGUAAGACUAAUACCCAAUGACGUCCAUAGAAGACAUCUGAAAUGGAUUAAAGAUUUAUCGGUGAUGGAUGGGGAUGCGUCUGAUUAGCUUGUUGGCGGGGUAACGGCCCACCAAGGCGACGAUCAGUAGGGGCUCUGAGAGGAAGGUCCCCCACAUUGGAACGGAGACACGGUCCAAACUCCUACGGGAGGCAGCAGUGAGGAAUAUUGGUCAAUGGGCGAGAGCCUGAACCAGCCAAGUAGCGUGCAGGAUGACGGCCCUAUGGGUUGUAAACUGCUUUUAUAAGGGAAUAAAGUGAGCCUCGUGAGGCUUUUUGCAUGUACCUUAUGAAUAAGGACCGGCUAAUUCCGUGCCAGCCGCCGCGGUAA
rnacentral:rRNA from 1 species